CCUAGAGUUGUAGGCUUUGCCUGCUAUCUCUUACCCAUGUCUUUUGAGUACCUUCGUUUCCUCGGCGGGUCCGCCCGCCGAUUGGACAAUUUAAACCAUUUGCAGUUGCAAUCAGCGUCUGAAAAAACUUAAUAGUUACAACUUUCAACAACGGAUCUCUUGGUUCUGGCAUCGAUGAAGAACGCAGCGAAAUGCGAUAAGUAGUGUGAAUUGCAGAAUUCAGUGAAUCAUCGAAUCUUUGAACGCACAUUGCGCCCCUUGGUAUUCCAUGGGGCAUGCCUGUUCGAGCGUCAUUUGUACCUUCAAGCUCUGCUUGGUGUUGGGUGUUUGUCUCGCCUCUGCGCGCAGACUCGCCUCAAAACAAUUGGCAGCCGGCGUAUUGAUUUCGGAGCGCAGUACAUCUCGCGCUUUGCACUCCUAACGACGACGUCCAAAAGUACAUUUUUACACUCUUGACCUCGGAUCAGGUAGGGAUACCCGCUGAACUUAAGCAUAUCAAUAAGCGGAGGAUCGCGUACUUGGUCAUUUAGAGGAAGUAAAAGUCGUAACAAGGUUUCCGUAGGUGAACCUGCGGAAGGAUCAUUCAUAAUAAGUGUUUUAUGGCACUUUUUAAAUCCAUAUCCACCUUGUGUGCAAUGUCAGUCGAUCUUCUUCAUGGAGAUCGACCAAACAUCAACCUUUAUCUUUUAACUCUUUGUCUGAAAAAUAUUAUGAAUAAACAAUUCAAAAUA
rnacentral:misc_RNA from 1 species